GGUGAGUUGGGAGCAUUCGCUCGGUACAGAGCACGUCAUAAAAACUCAGCAGGCAGGUAGGGAUUUAUUUCCCUGGUGUGAGUGGUGGAAAAAAGGGGUUUUGCUUGAGGCACAUAAAAAACCGGGCAGCCAUGUUUGGUUCCGAACGAGUGGCAAAACGAGCAAAACGAAGAAGAAAGCUCUGUGGCACAAGGUGUUUUUCCAUUUUCUAUUUUCUAGCACGCGAAAAUUUGCUCUCUUGAAACCAAACCAAUUAUCGCAUUGUUGGUGGUACGUGCACCUUGCCAGUGGAUUUCGUUUCGUGCUCCGGGGGCAGAUUGCCGAGAUGGAGAGGGCGCACAGCCAAAAGCAAACCAGUGUCCGCCACCUUCCCUUCCCGGGCCCGCUCCCACACGUUUACUUCAUUGUGCACGAAAUGAGAUUAAAAUAUCAGAACGUACUUUACGAUACGCUUUAUGUACCGAAAUCUUCCGCACACAGCCCAACGUACAACGCUGCCCGAAGCAAGCGCCGCACAUUAAAUAAGCAGAAGAGAUGAACGCACCGAGUGAGGUGGUGAAGAGAAAGGAGCGCUGCAAGGCAAACAAGGGGCGAGCAGAAAAGUCACAAAGUGACUGACUGAAACGGUACUGGUACGGUACAUAAUGCAGCCCACCAAACAUAGGACAGAAAGCACAAAAAUCCCAAAAAGUCCUCCGUGCAAACUAACUUCUGCUGCUUCUGGAGGGUCUGCGGAGGGUGCAACCGGGGAAGUAGAAGAGAAAAAAAAUACAUAAAUGGCUGUUAACACACACCACCUUAUGCUGUGUGGGUGUAUGCGUGGGGGGAGAGAGAGUGUAUACGAUGAUUCUUGCGCAUGAUCAGGACUGCCCUGUGCCGGAGCCGCAAAAGCAACGAACAGCCCGCGGGUGUUGGUGAUUGGUGCUCCUCAAUUCUGUCCACCACCCCCAGGAGACCGAACCGAAUGGAUCCCGACUGGUUGCAAAAUUAGUCAAUUUCGGCAACAGAUUUAGGAAAGUCAUCUGUACUGUACUCCACUGCCACAGUGAAGUCGUCGUCUCGGCGAUCGUCUCCCCUACCAACAACAACAAAAAACUCUCUCCAUUACUACAUGGCGAACGGAACGACACUCCCGGGCGAAGAACACGAAUGAAAAUGCAAAUUGAAAUCGAACGAUGCUUGUGCUGAUGAUGUUGAUGACGACGACGAUGAUGAUGAUGGGAGGCAAGAGUAUUCUUUUUUGCUUCUACCCGUGGGGAACAUUUUCGAUCUAGUACACUGUGAACGGCAAACUUACCCGGUAAGCACGCACCGCCACCACCGCCAAAGGUUGACUUUAAGUGUGUAAAAUCUGCGAAAAAGAGAGAGAGAGAAAAGGGAAAGUGAGAGUGAUGAGAAAGCGAAAAAAAGUGCCGUGACAGUGGUCCCCCGCACGAAUCUCAUUAUUAUUGAAUUUAGUAAUUUGCCAUUAGACCGGAGAAUGCUGGAAUCGGGCGCGCAUGUGAGAAGAGGUGACAAGGGGAUAUUAUCGGCAAUAGGAAGAUUACCCGUUUCGGAUGGAAAAUUCUCGAGCCGUAGCAAAAGGAAUUCGACCCCUUGGUAGACUGUUUAAGUGCAGACGAGUUUCAUUUAUUGAUUGGAUCGGAAUGUUUGUGGAAUCGAAGCGAGAAGCAAAAAAAUCGGAGGAAUAAUUUAAGGUGAGCUUCAGAAUAGUACAGGAUUUACUGGAUUGUGUGUACCGAGCGAAACUGGCGAUACGGUGAUAUAUAAAUCCCUCACACUGCGUUCUGGAAAUCAAACAAACAAGAGUUGGGUUUUGAAACUCAAGAAAACAAACCAUUGUUUCGGGGCUGCUGGAAAUGCCAUUGAUACCGGGUUUGGUGGAACUUCAAAAUCAAUAAACACACAAGCUUGCGGAA